rnacentral:lncRNA from 1 species
AAAAGAUCUGGUGAGGCAGAAGACUCUGGAGUCAUUUUAUCUGCUUUACAUAAUGUGUCCUCAUGCCUCAGAAAGCCUACAAAGAGAAGGGAAGGGUAAUGGAGCCCGCUGGUCAUGGGUAACUCCACUGGGUAAAUGUGGUGCCCUUACAUCACCGAGCCUGGGUCACGGCAAUGGAAGGCCCUCCUUAACACCAAAGGAACAGAGGAGCUGAGUGGCAUCAGAGGGUGCACAUCUGAUGUGAGCCUGGAAGUGAAGGGUAGAGCCUACUCACAAGAGCA